rnacentral:tRNA from 1 species
GCUAAGAUGCCCGAGCUGGUCCAAGGGGGACGACUUAAGCUAGAAUUUCUACUCUGUAUGAGAUCGUCUGCACGCGCGUGCGCGUGGGUUCGAAUCCCACUCUUAGCA